AUUGAACGCUGGCGGCAGGCCUAACACAUGCAAGUCGAGCGAGCGGCGGACGGGUGAGUAAUGUCUGGGAAACUGCCUGAUGGAGGGGGAUAACUACUGGAAACGGUAGCUAAUACCGCAUACCAUCAGAUGUGCCCAGAUGGGAUUAGCUAGUAGGUGGGGUAACGGCUCACCUAGGCGACGAUCCCUAGCUGGUCUGAGAGGAUGACCAGCCAGACUGGAACUGAGACACGGUCCAGACUCGUACGGUAGGCAGCAGUGGGGAAUAUUGCACAAUGGGCGCAAGCCUGAUGCAGCCAUGCCGCGUGUGUGAAGAAGGCCUUCGGGUUGUAAAGCACUUUCAGCGGGGAGGCGUUACCCGCAGAAGAAGAACCGGCUAUGUCCGUGCCAGCAACCGCGGUAGUUC
rnacentral:rRNA from 1 species